CCCUGUCACGGACUUGCUGGAGUGUUACCUCUUUGAAGCCUCACUCCCGCCCGUUAGGAAGCUGCUGCAGUCCUGACUCCUGCGUCACAGUCCUCUGCAGGACCGAGGCUGUGUGGACGGAGGCUGUGUGGAUGGAGAUCCCACCAUCACCGAGUUCGGGCAAGUCCCAUGAGGGUCUCAGCUCCUCAUCCGUAACAUCAGGAUGAUAAAGCCUCCCUCGCAGGAUGGCCGUGCGAGUGCCCAGAUCCCAGGAGAGGGCUGGUAAAUGGGCGUUGCCUGCCCCAUCCCUUUCUACCUGCACGGAAAAGGAGAGAUGGCCCAGCCUCAGGUCAUCAGGACCCUUGAGCCAACCCUGCAUCUCAGCCCUGACUCCCACCCAGAAUGCCGGCCUUCCUCACCAAGGGUCUGGCUGACACCUCUGCGAUGCUCAUCACUAGUCACUUGGGAUUCCCUGGUGAUAUGGUUUGGCUGUGUCCCCACCCAACUCUCAUCUUGAAUUGUAGUUCCCAUAAUCCCCACAUGUCAUGGGAGGGACGGGGUGGAGAUAAUUCAAUCAUGGAGCGGUUUCCUCUGUCCUGUUCUCAUGAUAGUGAGCUAGUUCUCACGAGAUCUGAUUGUUUUAUAAAGGGCUUCUUUCUUCGCUGGGCACUCAUUCUCUCUCCUGCCAUCAUGUGAAGAGGGUCUUUGCUUCCCCUUUACUUUCCAUCAUGAUUGUAAGUUUCCUGAGGUCUCCCCAGCCAUGCGGAACUGUGAGUCAAUUAAAC
rnacentral:lncRNA from 1 species